GUGUUGUCUAUUGUAGCUCAGCUAUGGCCAGGACUCAACUCCAGCAGCUGGUUAACAGUGUCACCAUCUCCUACUACCGGAUGUCGCUUGUGAGUGGCACAGAGAGGGCAAAGAGGGAAUGACUUGUACCGUCCCUCCCAGCAGAACUACAGACAUCAGUUGAAACGGGAAGGUUUUCAGUGCCAGCACAGAGAAGUAUUUCCCUUCCUGUGCAUAGCUAUGGACUCCUUGAACCACAAAGCCCAGGAAGCUGAGCGUAUUUCUGAGAAUAUCUCUAACUCUCACCCUCUUCCCAGGCUUUUCCAUGAGCAUCUGCUGUCGGCACUGUUGGGAACAGGCUGAGCUGCUCACACUGACAUUUUUAUGCUCCUCAGUUACAUCAUUGUCUUUAUUUGACCAAGAAAUUGUAAGCAGAAGAGCAGUGUCUUAGAGGACUGAGGAUCCUCCGGGUUGCACUGAAGGCCAACAGACCUCAGACUUGGUUCCUGCUGUCAUGAGGAGCAUAAUCUCCAUGCUGCUGACGUUGAUUUUACAUCUGACUUCAGCCGCAACAGGCUCAAGGAUUUCAUUAUUCAGCAGCCUCUCCAUCUGCUUUAUAGAAAAUGUGUGCAAAGAUUAAACAUGACAAGGAAUUUGUUUCCAAGAUACUGAUAUUUUGGGAUGGAUUAAGAAGUAGCCUUUUAAUUCCAACUCCAAAAGAAAACAGGUUCAUCAAAUGUCAUCUGGAGAAUAUCCCCCUGCAUCCAGGCACUGUGAAUGUGAGAAAUGAUUUGCCGGGCACCACUACAGCUAGUUUUCGCCUGUUCCUAUCCAUCUCCUGUCAGCACUCACACCCCUGUUGACAAAACGAAUUUCGCUUUGAUUUCAUCUUUCCAGAUAACACAGAUUAACUGGAAGCUGUGUCUUUCUGUUGUUGUGAAAGCGUACAGAAGGAGCAAUCCUACCGAAGAGACGCAGACGUCUGAGCGAAGCUUGCAGUCACAGUAAGCAGUGCAGACCAACAUAUUGCUGGAAACAGAGAUACCGGAGGUACCAGCCACUUCUGUAAGACUUUGAGCACAAUAAAUGCAAAUGCCCGUGUUACUCUGCUGUUUUAAUACUGUUUUCAUGUCUCCCCAGCCAGCAUCCCCUGCAGGGUUACAGUCCCCAUCUUCUUGCAUUCAGCCUUCCUCCUCCUCUGCUGCAGCUGUCGUCCCGUAUGCCGCAUGGGAGGAAGAGCAAGGUCAGACAGCCGCCAACAAGCUGCCUCGUAUCAUCCGCCUUGCCUUCCCCCUGCAAUUCUGGUGUGACAGAUGCAGGAGAGAAGAAGAACUCCUGGAGGAGCACACAGGUUUGUGUAUUAGUGAAGAUUUCCUCUGUUGUUUCAAGGGCGUAAUACAAGGAAAAGGGAAAGAGAGAAUUAGAUGAGCCAUGGCAAUCCUGCCCGCUGGGAGACAGCCGCUCCACACUUACCCUUAUUGCCACGAGUAGACAGUGAUAGUGCAGUCAGGGAUUUGUGUGUCCGUUGUAGUGAGAAGACCCAGGGAAAUUAAGGUGGAUCCUGCAGAUAAGUGGCAUUUAACAAAAUUAAAGUGGAUGCCUUUGGAGGGUAGAGGUCUGCUCACCUCUGGAGAGCUUGGACAGAGCUGGAGUUUCUUGGAGUGACCUCAAGAGCAGAAGAGGAGCCGUGAGUCACCUUCAUCAUCAUAAUGCUUCACAGGGCCAACAAUCUAAAAUGUCAAAAAGCUUUUUCUGGAAUAGUUGAAUAAGUUAUUUCCUAAAGCAUCUCCGGGCAACCCCAGAGCAUCUAAUGUGGCCUCAUGUGGUAGGGAAGGGCAGUCAGCCCACAGCCCAGGCGGGUAAGGAUGGAGCUGAUGGCUUCAUACCCUGGAACAAAACCAUGUGUACUGCAGCAUAUUCGGUGUGUUUUACAGUGUGCACAUACACCGGUGAGAGAUCAUUUGCUCUCAUUCCUUCCGGAGAAAGAAAAUCAGGGAAUGGAGACUGUGAUGAGAUAAAUGGUUAUUAUGAGAUAUAGGCAUUUUUAAUUAGCUCCUGCAGACUGCACCACACUCCUAAUGAGCUCUUGCCAAGUUUGCUGUGAUUCCUCUUUACGUUUUGUAACUCUGUAAUAGUAACAAUAUAAUCAUUUUCUAUAAUAACCAUGAUAAAGCCCAGAUAAUCCUUCUGUAACUCCUGCAUAAGCUUCAUGUAAUUAAAUCAGUUGGUGAAACA